GAUGAACGCUGGCGGCGUGCUUAACACAUGCAAGUCGAACGAGAACGGAUUUUAGCUUGCUAAAAUUGUCAGCUAAGUGGCGCACGGGUGAGUAAUAUAUAGGUAACGUGCCCUAGAGAAGAGGAUAACAUCUGGAAACGGUUGCUAAUACCCUAUAUGCCUUUAUGUCAUAAGACAGCAAGGGAAAUAUUUAUAGCUUGAAGAUCGGCCUGUACAGUAUCAGUUAGUUGGUGAGGUAAUGGCUCACCAAGACAAUGACGCUUAACUGGUUUGAGAGGAUGAUCAGUCACACUGGAACUGAGACACGGUCCAG
rnacentral:rRNA from 1 species